GGCCUCACAAUUCUUACCACAGGCUGUGUUCUUUACUGUGUAGAAAGAGGAGGUACAGUAAAUGCACCCCAUAUACACCUCAACACAGGCCCUUUGCCUGGUUUGUAUUGUGAAUUGGGGGACCAAA